UGAUUCAGCGGCGGACGGGUGAGUAAUGCCUANGAAUCUGCCUGGUAGUGGGGGACAACGUUUCGAAAGGAACGCUAAUACCGCAUACGUCCUACGGGAGAAAGCAGGGGACCUUCGGGCCUUGCGCUAUCAGAUGAGCCUAGGUCGGAUUAGCUAGUUGGUGGGGUAAUGGCUCACCAAGGCGACGAUCCGUAACUGGUCUGAGAGGAUGAUCAGUCACACUGGAACUGAGACACGGUCCAGACUCCUACGGGAGGCAGCAGUGGGGAAUAUUGGACAAUGGGCGAAAGCCUGAUCCAGCCAUGCCGCGUGUGUGAAGAAGGUCUUCGGAUUGUAAAGCACUUUAAGUUGGGAGGAAGGGCAGUAAGUUAAUACCUUGCUGUUUUGACGUUACCGACAGAAUAAGCACCGGCUAACUCUGUGCCAGCAGCCGCGGUAAUACAGAGGGUGCAAGCGUUAAUCGGAAUUACUGGGCGUAAAGCGCGCGUAGGUGGUUUGUUAAGUUGGAUGUGAAAGCCCCCGGGCUCAACCCUGGGAACUGCAUCCAAAACUG
rnacentral:rRNA from 1 species